rnacentral:lncRNA from 1 species
CGUGAGUGGAAUUGUGGAACGUGGGAAAAGCCAGUUUUGCCAUCUUGUCCCUUGGACGGUUCCGCCUGCAGUCUGCAUCCCCUAGUUUGGACUCUCCUGGGUCAGAUCAGCAUCCUCCCUACUGUGGUCCUGCCCUGGCUUCAGCCCAGCAUAAUAACCUCUCCUCUCAAUCCCAAGGGCUGGCCUCCCAGCAACCUUAGUGCUCUGCUCCCUCAAGCACAGUCUGUACCUUGGGCUCAAGGCAUCAGGGAAAGCAGUUCCAGCUCUCCUCCAGUCAACAUCUGUAUCACAAGCCCUGUGGAUUAUGGAAAAGGCACCACAGGGGGCUUUCAUGUGAGCUGCUCAUGGUCUGGUGAAGGACUGCCUGAGGAGGAGCAGCCAGUUUCCCACAGAAAAUCUAGAAGUUCCUCCACAAUGUACAUCUGGGAUCCCAGCACUCUGGGAGGAGAUACAGAGGCAUCAGGAUAAACUGGAGCAUCCUUUGCAGAAUGAGCAAAGGAAUCAGACCUGAAGUCAUGCCCACGCCACCUGCUGGAGCUGCCUAAAACUACAGGAAGAAGGCAUUGCACCUGCUAGGAGUCCUUUCAGGCGCUCCAUUGUACCGAGGCUGUGGGAGGGUUCUAGGGGAGAGGCGUUCGUUGGCUGGUUAUUACUAUUUUCCAUGAUUUCUGUCAUCAGUGCUUUUUGUUUUCUGCUGUCUGUCAAUGAAAUAUUCAUCUUUGGGAGAGGAUUCUGGGAAGAUGGUAAAGUAGGUCAGAAAAUUCCAAGCUUUCCAGAUUUCCCCCACAAACAAGACAAAAUAGAGCCCCAGGAUGAAAGCAGAGCAGUAAAAAUAAACAAGAGUUGAGUCUUCCUGAGACA